rnacentral:rRNA from 1 species
GACAGAGGGUGCAAGCGUUGUUCGGAAUUACUGGGCGUAAAGCGCGUGUAGGCUGCUUCGCAAGUCGGAUGUGAAAGCCCUGGGCUCAACCCAGGAAGUGCAUUCGAAACUGCAGAGCUGGAGUCCUGGAGAGGAAGGCGGAAUUCUCGGUGUAGAGGUGAAAUUCGUAGAUAUCGAGAGGAACACCGGUGGCGAAGGCGGCCGUCUGGACAGUGACUGACGCUGAGACGCGAAAGCGUGGGGAGCAAACAGG